UACGUAGGGUGCGAGCGUUGUCCGGAAUUACUGGGCGUAAAGGGCGCGCAGGCGGCCUUAGAAGUCAGAUGUGAAAGCCCCGGGCUCAACCUGGGAAUGGCAUUUGAUACUCUGAGGCUGGAGUACGGGAGAGGAGAGUGGAAUUCCCAGUGUAGAGGUGAAAUUCGUAGAUAUUGGGAAGAACACCGGUGGCGAAGGCGGCUCUCUGGACCGUAACUGACGCUGAGGCGCGAAAGCGUGGGGAGCAAACAGG
rnacentral:rRNA from 1 species